rnacentral:rRNA from 1 species
CUCCGGUUGAUCCUGCCGGACCCGACUGCUAUCAGAGUGGGACUAAGCCAUGCGAGUCAACAUAGCAAUAUGUGGCAUACGGCUCAGUAACACGUAGUCAACAUGCCCAGGGGACGUGGAUAACCUCGGGAAACUGAGGAUAAACCGCGAUAGGUCAUCACUUCUGGAAUGGGUAAUGACUUAAAUCUAUAUGGCCCCUGGAUUGGACUGCGGCCGAUCAGGCUGUUGGUGAGGUAAUGGCCCACCAAACCUGUAACCGGUACGGGCUCUGAGAGGAGGAGCCCGGAGAUGGGCACUGAGACAAGGGCCCAGGCCCUAUGGGGCGCAGCAGGCGCGAAACCUCUGCAAUAGGCGAAAGCUUGACAGGGUUACUCUGAGUGAUUUCCGUUAAGGAGAUCUUUUGGCACCUCUAAAAAUGGUGCAGAAUAAGGGGUGGGCAAGUCUGGUGUCAGCCGCCGCGGUAAUACCAGCACCCCGAGUGGUCGGGACGUUUAUUGGGCCUAAAGCAUCCGUAGCCGGUUCUACAAGUCUUCCGUUAAAUCCACCUGCUUAACAGAUGGGCUGCGGAAGAUACUAUAGAGCUAGGAGGCGGGAGAGGCAAGCGGUACUCGAUGGGUAGGGGUAAAAUCCAUUGAUCCAUUGAAGACCACCAGUGGCGAAGGCGGCUUGCCAGAACGCGCUCGACGGUGAGGGAUGAAAGCUGGGGGAGCAAACCGGAUUAGAUACCCGGGUAGUCCCAGCUGUAAACGAUGCAGACUCGGUGAUGAGUUGGCUUAUUGCUAACUCAGUGCCGCAGGGAAGCCGUUAAGUUUGCCGCCUGGGGAGUACGGUCGCAAGACUGAAACUUAAAGGAAUUGGCGGGGGAGCA